GAUGAACGCUGGCGGCAUGCCUAAUACAUGCAAGUCGAGCGAACAGACGAGUAGCUUUCUCCUCUCACGUUAGCGGCGGACGGGCGAGUAACAUGUGGAUAACCUCCCUAUAAGACUGGGAUCACUUCGGGAAACCGGAGCUAAUACCAGAUAACAUGGUGAACCGCAUGGUUCAACAGUGAAAGACGAUCUUGCUGUCACGUAUAGAUGGAUCCGGGCCGCAUUAGCUAGUUGGUAAGGGAACGGCUUACCCAGGCAACGAUGCUUAGCCGAACGGGUAGGGUGAGCAGCCACACUGGAACUGAGACACGGUCCAGAGCCCGACGGGAGGGAGCGGUAGGGGAUCUGCCGAAAUGGGCAAGAGUCUGACGGAGCAACGGCGCGGGAGUGAAGAGGGUGUUCGGAUUGUAGGACGCUAUUUUCAGGGAAGAACGAAUAUGAAAGUAACUAGGCGGGAAUUGAAGGUACCAGAGCAAAAAGCCACGGCUAACUACGUG
rnacentral:rRNA from 1 species